UGGGGAAUAUUGGACAAUGGGGGAAACCCUGAUCCAGCCAUGCCGCGUGUGUGAAGAAGGCCUUCGGGUUGUAAAGCACUUUCAGUGGGGAGGAAGGCCCUGUGGCUAAUAUCCACGGGGAUUGACGUUACCCACAGAAGAAGCACCGGCAAACUCCGUGCCAGCAGCCGCGGUAAUACGGAGGGUGCGAGCGUUAAUCGGAAUUACUGGGCGUAAAGCGCACGUAGGCGGCUACAUAAGUUGGAGGUGAAAUCCCCGGGCUCAACCUGGGAACUGCUUUCAAAACUGUGUGGCUAGAGUACGGUAGAGGUGAGUGGAAUUUCCUGUGUAGCGGUGAAAUGCGUAGAUAUAGGAAGGAACAUCAGUGGCGAAGGCGACUCACUGGACUGAUACUGACGCU
rnacentral:rRNA from 1 species